AUAACAAUACCGGGCUCUAUGAUUCUGGUAAUUGGAAUGAGUACAAUCUGAAUCCAUUGGAGGGCAAGUCUGGUGCCAGCAGCCGCGAUAAUUCUAGCUCCAA
rnacentral:rRNA from 1 species